UACGUAGGGUGCGAGCGUUGUCCGGAAUUACUGGGCGUAAAGAGCUCGUAGGUGGUUUGUCGCGUUGUUCGUGAAAACCGGGGGCUUAACCCUCGGCGUGCGGGCGAUACGGGCAGACUGGAGUACUGCAGGGGAGACUGGAAUUCCUGGUGUAGCGGUGGAAUGCGCAGAUAUUAGGAAGAACACCGGUGGCGAAGGCGGCUCUCUGGAACGGUACUGACGCUGAGACGCGAAAGCGUGGGGAGCGAACAGG
rnacentral:rRNA from 1 species